UGACUGGAGGAGCUAGGAAAGAGAGAUGAUUGGCUGGUAGGGCGGUGGAAAGGCAAUGUCAAGAGGUGUGGAAAAUGAAGCGGUUAGUCUGCUUUCAGCCUCGGCAGAAGUAAGAUAGAGUAUGGCUUAUGAGGCUGGGUGCUGUAGUGGAUGCCUUUCCUUGUACCCGUGUUCAUUUGAAAGCUGUGGUGUUUUCUACAGUUUGUGGGAGGUGGCCGCUUCAAGUAAGGUUCUCGUGUAUGGCGUUGGAGAAUGUUGAUGUGCCCUCUGGCGAAUGCUGUGCGCGCUCCGCCGUGUAUGAUGGCUCUGGCCGCUGUUGUGAAGGGUUCGUCACUGGCUGUAUGUUUCGAAUGCCUCCUGUAUAACUUACCCGUUAGACUUGGGUGCUGGCUGUGUGCUGGUAUAUAUGAGCUGUAUAAGUUGAAAGUCAAGAGACUCCUUUUCUUUUUUUUUUUUUUUUUUUUUCGUUUUUGGUGGGCUGAAAGUCACUAUCUUUUUCUCCGGAGAGUCUUUGAGGUAAAGAAUGCUGUAAUUCUCGAGCAAUAAAAGCAACUUUCCUUAGGAUGCUUGCCCAUUUUUGUUCUUUAGGAUUAUCAUAAUCAAGUAAACUUUACUACUAUAGAUUGAUACAUUAAUCCUGUUCCGUGCCUUUUUACUUAACCUGUUGGUUACUAAACUUAUUGGUAUAGGAAGUUUACAAAACCUCGACCUGGCAUUUUUACCAAACCAGAUAAUGAAAAUUCCCAAAGCCAGAGUAAAUGUAAUCCAUGUAAAUCAUUUGUAAUCCAGCCAGUCUAAAAUAAUGCAUGUAAAAAAAAAAAUGCAUACAUAGCCUAUA